CCAAGAUCCAACAUUUUUCAAUCUAAAUCGACUUCGAUCGAUCCAAGCACUUUUAAUCACUCGACACAGAUCCUCGAGCAAGCGUCGCUAAACCGUCGAUUUUCAAAGUAUCAAAAGACUUCGAUGGCGAACGCCAAAGUCACGGUAGACUGAUCUCGCGGCAACUUCCCAAAGAGAAACGGGCAAAACUAGCGGCGAACCGAGUCGAAACGCCUGCAGCAUCGUCUACCGAUGCUUUGGAAAACGAAACACGAGGAUAAUUGGCCCGAAAGCGCGUUUCGUUGAGCCGAUAUUACCACAUAUAUACGUGUUUAUGUACACAAUACUUUCCCGCCACUUCUAGCACAUUCUCCGCUUUGAAGUUCACCGAGCUAUGCGCACACGCGUUCCUUCAUUUCUCUCAAGAGCGCGCUGCGAAUCCGUAGCAGCUUUCACGCGAUUCGAUCAUCAAUCACGCGGCUCCCGUUACAAGACGAAGAAAACGCGGAAGCUAGCUACGAUUCUAUCCAACCACUCGUCUCGACUGAACAAUCAUGGACCACUCUUGGAACUGUGUUUAAGAAUGUUUUUGCCAUUAUGUAUAUUAUUUUCUUACCAUUAUGAAUCGAGUACCGUUUCGUUGGUUUUUCAGUGUGACCGUUUAAUGGGAAUUUAUGGGAAAUUGUUGUGGUUGUUUUAAUAUUCUGAAUGUGUGAAAAGUUUGCAUGGAGAUUGCGACACGUACAAAGUGUUAAUAUAUUCGUUAUCGCCAUUUAAAGAAGAAAUACUUUGAUUAUGUCGAUUUUAUAGUAUAAUAAAAAAUAUGAGAAUGAGCAAAUCAUUCUUUUUAAUAUACGUAUUAAUUAUCUUCGUUUUGAAUAGAACAAAAUUUAAAAAUUAAUAAUCAAUGCUCGUUGAAGAAUAUUAUACUCUUUGUAUCGAUAAAACUAAAAAUCGAAACAAAUAAAAAUGUUGAUCCAGACUUACUUGUUGAAUUAUAAGUGAACUGCGUGUAGAUAUAUAAAAAACACAAAAUACUCAAAACAUAGUAGACAUUAUGAUGUUUGAGGAAUAAAGAAAAUCUUUAUUCAAGCUAUCUUUUUUUUAAUCAUGUUCAUAAAAGUUUAAUUUUACAUAAAAAAGUCCAGUUAUAAUUAAGAUUUACGUUAGAUAAACUAGGAAAUAGAGUUAUCUUAUUCUUUCUGCGUUUCGCUUCGUUUAACGCAAACUUCAAUUAUUUAUAACUUAAUAAAUAUGUCUCGCUCGACAUUUUUAUACAUUAAUUUUUAUAUUCGUUAUAAUCUUUGUAAAAUCGAUUCUUCAAAAAUAUUAUACGAAUAUAUUAACAUGUUUUGAAAUGUUACAAAUUUUUUACUUAUUUAUUCAAUAAUUAUAAGUUUUAAUCAUUUCGUGUCGACUCAUCGUUCGUUAUUUAUAGAAAUUAUUUUUUUUAUUUAAUUCGAUUAAUUAAAAAAAUAAUUUUAUACAAACUCUUGCUUAGAUAUGCGAUCUCGUGCGCUGCUGGCUCUAUACUGAACUUAUUAAUAAUAUUGACUCGAGGAACAUACGUACGAGGAACAUACGUAUGUAAACAUUACGCGCUAUAGGAAAGUAUACGUAAACUCGACUGUAACUUCUUUGUUUCAUCGAUAUACUCGUCGCGUAAAAAUUUAAUUUUCACUCGUCAUAUAUUAAUUCCCUUUAAUUAAUUAUAAUUUAAAUCACGAUGAGGAUAUAUUCGAAUUUUUGAGAUAAUAAAUCAUGCAAGGGAUAAAAUAUACGUAAAAAAAUACGAUAUUAUACGAAAGUGAAAUCAGUAUUCAUUUAUUGAGCUAUUACGUUUAUCGAUAUCUAUUUUCUAAUCGUUAUUUGCUAUUGGCUUGAAUGUGAAUUAUAAGAGCGCUUAUUCAUCGAAGCCUAUUUUAUCGUAUCAUUAAUCGUGGUGGGAAACGAUAUGGAGAAAGAUAAAUCGCAGACUGAACUCUCUUUCAUUCUACAAGAGAUUAUCAGAUCGAACAUUUUUCCACCUCUGAUCCACCCUUUUACACAAAAAGAAAUAAACGAAAGAUAAAUAAUACGUAUCUUGCGUUUAUCGUAUCUUGCUAUUAUCUCAUUUUUCAAAAAAUUCACAAUAAUAGUAUUUUUCUACAUUUUAUCCCUUGUAUGAUUUAUUAUCUCAAAAAUUCGAAUAUAUCGUUAUAUAUCGCUCGAGUUUUAAAAGUUUUCGAUCCAAAUGAUCAUUCUUCACGGAUCGUGUAGCAAUUUAAAAAGAUAAAGCAAUCCUUAAAAGUUGAAUUAAUAAUAUGAAAGGAUACCAAAAAUUUUUAAAUUAUUUUUCUUUAUUUUAAAAACCGUUUUUCGUUUUCGUGAAAAAAAAAAAAACAAAUCAGCAUAAUAUUCGAGUUCAACGAGAAAGCAGAAACCGAAACGAUAAAUUUGAAGAAUUCAUAAAUUAACAUUUAAUUUUUAAUUUGUUUCCAUUCUGUUUGACGAAUCGUUUCGAAAGCAUUCCAAUGCAAAUGGCUGAAAGAAGGACGCGGUGCGUGCGCACGGAGAAAGACGAUUCGACUUUUCCUUCGCAGACAGAAAAGGAACAAGGUGCAGAGGAACGAUUGAGAGCAAUUGAGGCGAUCGUUCGAUUUGGAUCUGUCUGAGUUUUAAGCACCCACUCCAUUCUGCGCGACCAACCGCAGACGUUCGUUCCAAUGCUUGAGUACGCACUUAAACGUCUGAAUCUUCGUCUGCAAAAAUACUACGAUUCUUUCCAGGGAAAGUGACCUCCGUGAUCUUGGACAAAGUGAUCAUAAGGGAUCUUGGACAAACAUGUUUCUGUUAUCCCUUCUUUAAUUGAUUCAACGUUGUGGAUAAAAUAAACGAUAGGAAUUUAUCAAAAAAUCAGAAGAGAAGACAUGUAUAUAGUAAUGGAUAAAAUAAACGAAUUUAUUAAAAAAAUCAGAAGAGGAGAUAUGUUUACAUGUAAAUCAGAUAUACGUGAUGAAAUUACUGAAAUUUUGCGAAUAUAUUACAUAUAGUUUGAUAUAGUGACUCGAAGGAUACAAUCACAGGAACACGAAAUAAAAGGAAUGUCGCGAGCGUCAUGUUGACGAGAAAGAAACAAGGAUUAUGCGGAUAACACACAUAACAUCGGUCGACGAUGCAGCUUCGUUCUGGUCGUGAGAUCAUAUUUAUAAAUCGAGUCGCGGAACGAUGAUGGAGAAUCUUUGAAUAUCUCUUCUCUAAAAUUAGGAGGAUGGUCGAGGAACGGUUUCGAAAUUCUCGCGGCCCAUUUCGAGGUCUGGAAAUAUCACGAGAACGGGAAUGAAAAACACAUCACGAGGGCACGAAAUUUCUAAUUUCUUACUACUGAGAAGAUUCGACGAAAUCGACGAGAAAAUUUGGAAAAUAUUUCAUGAAAAUGGACGACGAAGAGAGAAACCUUUUUUAAAGGCAAAAACAAUUUCGAAUUCCGGAUGAAUAUUGGAAAAAUUUAUAUUCUCGUAGACGAGAACGAUCGAGAAGAAGAAAGUAUACGGUUCUUUGAGUGGGAUUAAUUUAAAAGGAGAUAAAAUUUGCGUAAGAAAUAGGUUAUAAUUAAACAGUAACUGUUAUUCAAUUCUAUUGUUGUCAAUUGCUGCAUGCAAUUCUUGCAUCUAUUAAUAUUUUAUUGGAAAAUUGCUAAUAUUAACUAUUACUCAUAACAUUAACUAUAAAGAACCUUUAUUAUUGCUUGCAAAAAUAUAUCUGUAGAUAUAUUAUUCCGAUUGCAUAAUAACGUAUAAUAAAACAGGAAUAAUUUUUGCAAUUUAACGAUCAUUCAAUUUUCUCGUAUCUUCUUAGAGCGUAGAUAGUAAGCUUUCUUCCUCAUAAAUUUUAAUCAAUAAAAUUAUAUUUGAAUUAGAAAUAAAAUUAUUAAUUAUUAAUAUUAUUGUUUACAGUAAAUUUCUUUCAAACCGUUUAUACCGUUCCUGAUGUUACACCGAUGAUUUCUAAUCCAUCUAUCUUAUCUACACCUCUG